GGAGGAGUGCCAGAGCGGUUGAAUGGGGCAGUCUCGAAAACUGUUGUGCAGGCAACUGUACCGUGGGUUCGAAUCCCACCUCCUCCUCCA
rnacentral:tRNA from 1 species